AAUAUUGGACAAUGGGGGCAACCCUGAUCCAGCUAUGCCGCGUGUGUGACGAAGGUCUUCGGAUUGUAAUGCACUUUAAGUUGGUAGGAAGGGCUUUAGGUUAAUACCCUGAAGUUUUGACGUUACCAACAGAAUAAGCACCGGCUAACUCUGUGCCAGAAGCCGCGGUAAUACAGAGGGUGCAAGCGUUAAUCGGAAUUACAGGAGCUAAAGCGCGCGUAGGUGGUUCAGUAAGAUGGGUGUGAAAUCACCGGGCUUAACCUGGGAACUGCUUUCAUAACUGCUGAGCUAGAGUACGGUAGAGGGUAGUGGAAUUUCCUGUGUAGCGGUGAAAUGCGUAGAUAUAGGAAGGAACACCAGUGGCGAAGGCGACUACCUGGACUGAUACUGACACUGAGGUGCGAAAGCGUGGGGAGCAAAC
rnacentral:rRNA from 1 species